rnacentral:rRNA from 1 species
UGGGGAAUAUUGCACAAUGGGCGCAAGCCUGAUGCAGCCAUGCCGCGUGUGUGAAGAAGGCCUUCGGGUUGUAAAGCACUUUCAGCGAGGAGGAAGGUGGUGAGCUUAAUACGCUCAUCAAUUGACGUUACUCGCAGAAGAAGGCACCGGCUAACUCCGUGCCAGCAGCCGCGGUAAUACGGAGGGUGCAAGCGUUAAUCGGAAUUACUGGGCGUAAAGCGCACGCAGGCGGUUUGUUAAGUCAGAUGUGAAAUCCCCGGGCUCAACCUGGGAACUGCAUUUGAAACUGGCAAGCUAGAGUCUCGUAGAGGGGGGUAGAAUUCCAGGUGUAGCGGUGAAAUGCGUAGAGAUCUGGAGGAAUACCGGUGGCGAAGGCGGCCCCCCUGGACGAAGACUGACGCUCAGGUGCGAAAAGCGUGGGGAGCAAAACAGGAUUAGAUACCCUGGUAGUCCACGCUGUAAAACGAUGUCGAUUUGGAGGUUGUGCCCUUGAGGCGUGGCUUCCGGAGCUAACGCGUUAAAUCGACCGCCUGGGGAGUACGGCCGCAAGGUUAAAACUC